GCCGCACCGCCGGCCGACCCUAAUCUUCUGUAAAGGGUUUGAGUUGGAGCACGCCUGUCGAGACCCGAACGAUGGUUAACUAAGCCUGAGCGAGGCGAAGCCAAAGGAAACUCUGG
rnacentral:rRNA from 1 species